rnacentral:rRNA from 1 species
GACGAACGCUGGCGGCGUGCUUAACACAUGCAAGUCGAACGGAAAGGCCCUGCUUUUGUGGGGUGCUCGAGUGGCGAACGGGUGAGUAACACGUGAGUAACCUGCCCUUGACUUUGGGAUAACUUCAGGAAACUGGGGCUAAUACCGGAUAGGAGCUCCUGCUGCAUGGUGGGGGUUGGAAAGUUUCGGCGGUUGGGGAUGGACUCGCGGCUUAUCAGCUUGUUGGUGGGGUAGUGGCUUACCAAGGCUUUGACGGGUAGCCGGCCUGAGAGGGUGACCGGCCACAUUGGGACUGAGAGACGGCCCAGACUCCUACGGGAGGUAGCAGUGGGGAAUAUUGCACAAUGGGCGGAAGCCUGAUGCAGCAACGCCGCGUGCGGGAUGACGGCCUUCGGGUUGUAAACCGCUUUCGCCUGUGACGAAGCGUGAGUGACGGUAAUGGGUAAAGAAGCACCGGCUAACUACGUG